AGCGAACGCUGGCGGCAGGCUUAACACAUGCAAGUCGAACGGUCCUUUGGGACAGUGGCGGACGGGUGAGUAACACGAGGGAACGUACCCUUAGGUUCGGAACAACACAGGGAAACUUGUGCUAAUACCGGAUAAGCCCUUCGGGGGAAAGAUUUAUCGCCUUUGGAGCGGCCCGCGUCUGAUUAGCUUGUUGGUGAGGUAAUGGCUCACCAAGGCUACGAUCAGUAGCUGGUCUGAGUGGAUGGCCAGCCACACUAGGACUGAGACACGGCCCAGACUCCUACGGGAGGCAGCAGUGGGGAAUCUUGCGCAAUGGGCGAAAGCCUGACGCAGCCAUGCCGCGUGGAUGAUGAAGGUCUUAGGAUUGUAAAAUCCUUUCACCGGGGACGAUAAUGACGGUACCCGGAGAAGAAGCCCCGGCUAACUUCGUGCCAGCCGCCGCGGUAA
rnacentral:rRNA from 1 species